CAGUCGCCGCGGUAAUACGAAGGGGGCUAGCGUUGUUCGGAUUUACUGGGCGUAAAGCGCACGUAGGCGGAUCGAUCAGUCAGGGGUGAAAUCCCAGAGCUCAACUCUGGAACUGCCUUUGAUACUGUCGAUCUGGAGUAUGGAAGAGGUGAGUGGAAUUCCGAGUGUAGAGGUGAAAUUCGUAGAUAUUCGGAGGAACACCAGUGGCGAAGGCGGCUCACUGGUCCAUUACUGACGCUGAGGAGCGAAAGCGUGGGGAGCAAACAGGAUUAGAUACCCGUGUAGUCCCUGUCUCUUAUAU
rnacentral:rRNA from 1 species